rnacentral:rRNA from 1 species
CCUACGGGUCGCAGCAGUCGAGAAUCAUUCACACUGGAGGAAACCCUGAUGGUGCGACGCCGCGUGGGGGAAUGAAGGUCUUCGGAUUGUAAACCCCUGUCAUGUGGGAGCAAAUUAAAAAGAUAGUACCACAAGAGGAGGAGACGGCUAACUCUGUGCCAGCAGCCGCGGUAAUACAGAGGUCUCAAGCGUUGUGCGGAAUCACUGGGCGGAAUGCGUGCGUAGGCUGUUUCGUAAGUCGUGUGUGAAAAGCGCGGUUUCAAACCGCGAAUGGCACAUGAUACUGCGAUACUAGAGUAAUGGAGGGGUAACCGGAAUGCUCGGUGUAGCAGUGAAAUGCGUAGAGAUCGAGAGGAACACUCGUGGCGAAGGCGGCUUACCGGACAGUAACUGACGUUGAGGCUCGAAAGCGUGGGGAGCAAACAGGAUUAGAUACCCUUGUAGUC